CAAGAGCGUAUGUAAAAGUUGUUGCAGUUAAAAAGCUCGUAGUUGAACCUUGGGUUUGGUUGGCCGGUCCGCUUUUUUGCGUGUACUGGAUUCAACCGAGCCUUUCCUUCUGGCUAACCAGUCGUUUCGGCGGCUGGCGAACCAGGAUUUUUACUUUGAGAAAAUUAGAGUGUUCAAAGCAGGCAUUAGCUUGAAUAUAUUAGCAUGGAAUAAUAGAAUAGGACGUUAUGGUUCUAUUUUGUUGGUUUCUAGGACCAUCGUAAUGAUUAAUAGGGACGGUCGGGGGCAUCAGUAUUCAGUUGUCAGAGGUGAAAUUCUUGGAUUUACUGAAGACUAACUACUGCGAAAGCAUUUGCCAAGGACGUUUUCAUUAA
rnacentral:rRNA from 1 species